UGCAGUCGAGCGACAGAUGAGAAGCUUGCUUCUCUGAUGGUAGCGGCGGACGGGUGAGUAACACGUGGGUAACCUACCUAUAUGACUGGGAUUACUCCGGGAAACCGGGGCUAAUACCGGAUAAUAUUUUGAACCGCAUGGAUCGGUACCGACAGACCGCUUCCGCUGUCACUUAUACAUGGACCCGCGCCGUGUUAGCUAGGUGGUAAGGCAACGGCUUACCAAGGCGACGAUGCGUAGCCAACCUGAGAGGGUGAUCGGCCACACUGGAACUGAGACACGGUCCAGACUCCUACGGGAGGCAGAAGUAGGGAAUCUUCCGCAAUGGGCGAAAGCCUGACGGAGCAACGCCGCGUGAGCCUGAAGGUCUUCGGAUCUUAAAACUCUGUUGUUAGGGAAGAACAAAUUUGUUUUGCCUGAACAAGUCUUGACGGUACCUAACCCGAAAGCCACGGCUAACUACGUGCCAGCAGCCGCGGUAAUACGUAGGUGGCAAGCGUUAUCCGGAAUUAUUGGGCGUAAAGCGCGCGUAGGCGGUUUCUUAAGUCUGAUGUGAAAGCCCACCUGCUCAACCGUGGAGGGUCAUUGGAAACUGGGACUCUUGAGUGCAGAAGAGGAGAGUGGAAUUCCAUGUGUAGCGCGUGAAAUAUCGCAGAGGAUAUACCAGGUAACACCAGUCGGCGCAACGUCGGACUCUCUGCUGCUGUCAUCUGACGCUGAUG
rnacentral:rRNA from 1 species